GAGAGAGAGAUGCAAUGUGUGGAAGGAGGCGAUGCACGUUCCAUAGCAUCACUAUGUGACUGCUGCUGCCUGAUAAUCUUGCUUCCAGCUCCCUGAGUCAACAACUAACUGAGGUGCCUUUUCUUUUACAAAAGGAUGUCAGCUCUGAGACCCAGGAAGAAAUAACAGACUUCACCUUGGAAUAGCUCACCUCACUCCUGCAUCAUUAAAGCGGAUUUUGUAAAGAAAACAAAAAUCAACCCCCAUUCCAGCCCCUCCUCAUUCCACCACUGAACAGAAAGAGUUUCCUGCUCCAGGAUUCAAGCACAGCAACAUAUAAGAAGAAAACAUAUCACCAAAUAUUGAUAGAGUAAAUAUAAAGGAAGGCCCACUGGGGAGAAAAGAGUGAGCUGACAUGAUCAAGAAGUGGUUUUCAGUGACUGUGAUCAACAAGGAAAGGGAAAGACAAACUCUCCUCCCACUGAAGUCUUCAUAGCCAUACAUCACUUCUUUCCUUCUUCUAACCUUGUUUCAAAUGCAGCCGUAUUCAGAAAGGUGCCGUUUAGAGAUUAAGGAAUGCGCCAGUGACCACGCGGGACCCAACUGACAAAUUGUUUCUGUGUUCUGACCAGCAUCAAUCGUGUGUUGGAAGCUUUUCUGUCACCAGUUAAAAUGAUUCUUAUAGCUCUCGCAAGGUCACUUCCAAGGACUAUUACUUACUUUCUCAAACUGAAUGACCUUGUACAAAAUAGGAAAUACGAAAAAAGGGGGGAGAUGAUUACAACUUAAAUAGCCUUUGUAAAAAUUUACCAUGGAUUAUGAACAACUACACAGAUUCUCAGUGAAUCCUCACAAAGACUCUAAAGUAAGAAGUAACUUUUGAAUUUUAAAGAGAAGCCCU
ensembl:lncRNA